UACGUAGGGACCAAGCGUUGUUCGGAUUUACUGGGCGUAAAGGGCGCGUAGGCGGCGCUGUAAGUCACUUGUGAAAUCUCCGGGCUUAACUCGGAACGGUCAAGUGAUACUGCAGUGCUAGAGUGCAGAAAGGGCAAUCGGAAUUCUUGGUGUAGCGGUGAAAUGCGUAGAUAUCGUGAGGAACACCAGAGGCGAAGGCGGUUACCUGGACAGUUACUGACGCUCAGGCACGAAAGCGUGGGGAGCAAAAGGG
rnacentral:rRNA from 1 species